UGGCGGGAAAUUUUGGGCUGGGAGUGCCCGCGGCAGCUGAGAGCUGCGGGGCUGCCUCUACAAAAUCGCCCUUCUUGGAUCCUCAGUGGUUAUUACCUGUGUGUUGCAGACUCCCGCCAGUUCCUCACCCGCCCGGCCGAUACACCUGAAAUCGAUCGAGACGACGACGCCUGCGACUCCAGUGUCUGAGAGUUCCACUUUCUUUAUGACUUCACCAGCACUGGAUAGGGAUUCAGAACUGGAGAAACAAGAAAAGACAAUGUGUGAAAGCAGUAGCCGACAGACACGGAGAGAGGCAGUAUUCAGACUUCAUGAGUAAGCAGAAGCUGUGAAUAAACAAGAGCUCUGAGCGAACAAAAGCCACGAGGCAGCACAAAGGUACACAAAGUAACGACGGAGUGAUAGAAGGGUCAGAGAGGUAGCAUUCCGGAGGCUCACAGUGGCUUCGAGAGCGCAGCUGCAUUUCCUGGCUCACGGCCCCCUUCCAUCCUCAAAACCAGCAAUGGCAGGAUGUGAUGGUUGCCACCCUAGUUACCAUCUUGGACCACGAGAGCGAGGGCCACACUGAGGAAUGAAGAACAGUGAGAUGAGCUGGGGGUCCCACAGGACAUUGUGGAGAAGCUCUGCAUUUUCUAACUCAG